AUGAUCUCAGCUGAGAAACACACACGAAGAACACUUCACAGAGACAACAUGUUCAGAAUUUCUGUGUUGAUCUGCAUCUCUCUACUGGUUUAUGGCAACUCAGCCAAGCCAUACAAGUCCUGGGUACGUACUGUAGACUGCAUAAAUAUAACAUUACUUCAAUGUAUGUACUCGCCUCCCUUAAGUGUACUAUGUACUAUUAUUCUCCUAUGUACCAGUCUUCUGUUCUCGCUCUUGCAGGAUAAAGUGGCUGAGUAUGCAGUCCAGGAGACUCUGAUGUCUGAAAAGGAGAGGGUGAUGUUUGAUCUGGGGCUGAAGCAGGUGGAGGCUCCUGAAGACAUGGACAUCACUAACAAUGACAUCCACCCUGUCAUGGCCAUCUGGAAGAACAUGAGAGGGGGAGGUGGGAAGAGACAGAAGGUAGAAAAAGAGGUAGUCCAAGGCAGAUACUCCACAACCGAGGAGGACAUGGACCAUCUAUACCACCCAUCCAUGGAGCAGACCCACGAGGCUGACCUGGCCAGAGCCCGAUCUCAGCCAGAGGACACCUUCGUUCGGAUGGCCAUCCAGACAGAGCCCCUUGAGGAGGAUAACACCAAGUACUACCAGGAGGCUGGGAUAGAUCUAGAUAACAUCUCUCAUCUCUUCUCAGGCCAGGUGGAUCCACGGCACCCUGAAGAGGACUGGGACGAACUCUACCAUCCAGAGAUGAAAAGGGGAGACGGGCAGUACCAAGUGGACGUGCCUCACCAGGGGGAGCUAGCUGCUGUAGGGGCAGAGGUGAAGGGUCAUAGUGAGCCAGAGGAAGACAGGGAUGACCUCUACCAUGGUGACCUGCCUGUACCUGUACCUGGCCAGGACAGGCAGCAGUCUGCCGAUCGGCCCUCUCAGAGGAUGUACAGAGAACCAGAAGAGGACCUGGAUGACCUCUAUCAUCAUUAA
rnacentral:lncRNA from 8 species